UAGUCCACGCCGUAAACGAUGGUCACUAGCUGUUCGGACUUCGGUCUGAGUGGCUAAGCGAAAGUGAUAAGUGACCCACCUGGGGAGUACGUUCGCAAGAAUGAAACUCAAAGGAAUUGACGGGGGCCCGCACAAGCGGUGGAGCAUGUGGUUUAAUUCGAUGAUACGCGAGGAACCUUACCAGGGCUUAAAUGUAGGUUGCAUUAGCUAGAGAUAGCUAUUUCUUCGGACUACUUACAAGGUGCUGCAUGGUUGUCGUCAGCUCGUGCCGUGAGGUGUCAGGUUAAGUCCUAUAACGAGCGCAACCCCUGUCGUUAGUUGCCAGCAAGUAAAGUUGGGGACUCUAGCGAGACUGCCGGUGCAAACCGAGAGGAAGGUGGGGAUGACGUCAAAUCAUCACGGGCCCUUACGUCCUGGGGCUACACACGUGCUACAAUGGGUAUGGGACAGAGAGCAGCCACUGCGUGAGCAGGGANCGGAAUCUACAAACCAUAUCACAGUUC
rnacentral:rRNA from 1 species